UUGGAACAUCAGUUCCCAUAAGAGCACCAAAGUUAAGCAAUAUAGAGCCUUGUCAGUACCUAGAUGAGUGGCCACUUGGGAAUACCAGGUGCUGUAAG